rnacentral:lncRNA from 1 species
AAACGGAAUUUCACACGAUUGUAUUCCUUCUUUAGACACCCCUUUCAAGAAAACUCGUUUCUACAUUUCAUCUAAAACGCGUGGACAUUUAUACUGCUGAACCACAAGAAAACAAGAAAUCUGGUACAAUCGCCUAUUUAUUACUACAAGACAACGCAGAUUAUUUUGCCCUUUUCCCAAUUUUUUUCCUUCUUUUUCACACUCUUGGCGGUGGGGUAUUAGUUUACUUGCUUUUUUUCUUUCUGCGGAGUUAUCUAUGUCUGCUGCACUCGGAUGUACCACGAAUCUUCUUUCUUCGAGACGGUGAUACAAUCUGAAACGAAUGUGAGAAAAACCGAGGUGCGAAUUGCAUUUUUAUUGGGUUUUCUUCUGGUUAAGCUUGC